rnacentral:rRNA from 1 species
GACGAACGCUGGCGGCGUGCCUAAUACAUGCAAGUAGAACGCAGUUGCGAACGGGUGAGUCACGCGUAGGUAACUGCCUGGUAGCGGGGGAUAACUAUUGGAAACGAUAGCUAAUACCGCAUACUACCAGAUGGACCUGCGUUGUCUUAGUUAGUUGGUGGGGUAAAGGCGCACCAAGGCAACGAUACAUAGCCUACCUGGUAGGGUGAUCGGCCCAACGGGGACUGGGACACGGCCCAGAAUCCUACGGGAGGCAGCAGUAGGGAAUCUUCGGCAAUGGGGGGAACCCUGACCGAGCAACGCCGCGUGAGUGAAGAAGGUUUUCGGAUCGUAAAGCUCUGUUGUUAAGGAAGCGGUACUUAACCAGAAAGGGACGGCUAACUACGUGCCAGCAGCCGCGGUAAUAC